GAACCCACACCUGAAAACAAAUUCCUAAGAGCAAAUGCACAGGCUAGGUACUAAACUAAGUGUCCUGAAUGUAACUUAUUUUUCUUUCUGAUGAUUUAAGGCCACCAUCAUGAGUACGGAUGACAGCUAUGCCAUGAUGCACUGCUCCUAUUCUUUGAUUGUUA